rnacentral:rRNA from 1 species
AGCAGUCGCCACGGUAAUACGAAGGGGGCUAGCGUUGUUCGGGAUCACUGGCGUAAAGGGUGCGUAGGCGGAUUCUUAAGUCAGGGGUGAAAUCCCGAGGCUCAACCUCGGAACUGCCUUUGAUACUGGGGAUCUUGAGUCCGGAAGAGGUGAGUGGAACUGCGAGUGUAGAGGUGAAAUUCGUAGAUAUUCGCAAGAACACCAGUGGCGAAGGCGGCUCACUGGUCCGGAACUGACGCUGAGGCACGACAGCGUGGGGAGCAAACAGGAUUAGAUACCCCAGUAGUCCCUGUCUCUUAUACC